CAAUAGCGUAUAUUAAAGUUGUUGCAGUUAAAAAGCUCGUAGUUGGAUUUCUGGUGGGAGCGAUCGGUCUGGCGCUUAGCGCGAGUACUUGCAUCGUCUCCGGCCAUCCUUGGGGAGAGUCUGUCUGGCAUUAGGUUGUCGGGCAGAGGAUCCUCAUCGUUUACUGUGAAAAAAUUAGUGUGUUCAAAGCAGGCUUAUGCCGUUGAAUAUAUUAGCAUGGAAUAAUAAGAUAGGACUUUGGUACUAUUUUGUUGGUUUGCGCACCAAAGUAAUGAUUAAUAGGGACAGUUGGGGGUAUUCGUAUUCCGUUGUCAGAGGUGAAAUUCUUGGAUUUACGGAAGACGAACUACUGCGAAAGCAUUUACCAAGGAUGUUUUCAUUAA
rnacentral:rRNA from 1 species